rnacentral:rRNA from 1 species
AAGACCUUGCGCUUUUGGAGCGGCCGAUGCCUGAUUAGCUUGUUGGUAAGGUAAAAGCUUACCAAGGCUUCGAUCAGUAGCUGGUCUGAGAGGACGGCCAGCCACACUGGGACUGAGACACGGCCCAGACUCCUACGGGAGGCAGCAGUGGGGAAUUUUGGACAAUGGGGGCAACCCUGAUCCAGCCAUGCCGCGUGAGUGAAGAAGGCCUUCGGGUUGUAAAGCUCUUUCAGCCGGAACGAAACGGUUACGGUUAAUACCCGUGACUACUGACGGUACCGGAAGAAGAAGUACCGGCUAACUACGUGCCAGCAGCCGCGGUAAUACGUAGGGUGCGAGCGUUAAUCGGAAUUACUGGGCGUAAAGCGUGCGCAGGUGGUUUUGUAAGUCAGAUGUGAAAGCCCCGGGCUCAACCUGGGAACU